rnacentral:misc_RNA from 1 species
UCCCGGUUGGCCCGGGCAGUCUCCUGUGACAUUUCUAACACAGGACAAGGGUUGCGCUCGUUGCGGGACUUAACCCAACAUCUCACGACACGAGCUGACGACGGCCAUGCAGCACCUGUCACCAGGUUCCCGAAGGCACAGCCCUAUUUCUAGGGCCUUCCUGGGAUGUCAAGCCUUGGUAAGGUUCUUCGCGUAUCUUCGAAUUAAACCACAUGCUCCACCGCUUGUGCGGGUCCCCGUCAAUUCCUUUGAGUUUUAGCCUUGCGGCCGUACUCCCCAGGCGGGAUACUUAACGCGUUAGCUACUCAACACAGAGGGUCGAUACUCCAUGCUGAUAGUAUCCAUCGUUUACGGCGUGGACUAC